UUAUCCAGUGUAAUCCCACAAAAGACAAUAAAAAAAAACAGGAAUGAUUAAAAGGUAAUCCAAGGGAUCAACUUUUGUUUAAGAAGUGUAAAGGACGUGGGUCGAACGGGCAAAAUGGUUUACUGUUUUGCUCCUACAUGUGGCCGUUUGUCGGAGGGCAACACUUGCAAGUUCUUUGCUUUUCCAAGCGCUACAAAGCAGAACGACGAGUUCAAGAGAUGGUUCGACUCAUAAGGUGAAGAGUUGACAUCAGGACAUGAGGGAGAAUCAUCGAAUACUGAAUUAUAGAAGCUUCAGCUAGUUGUCUUUUUAACGGUCGCUUUGUAUUUUCCGUAGCCAAAACCUUAAAUCUGAGUGUUUUGGAAGAUUUCUUUUCUUUUGAGAAGAAAGAAAAAAGCGAAGCGAUGGAUAAUGUCUCCAUUUUGAAUCGAAUGGGCGUUUGUUUGGAACUGAGAUUUUUAGCACCAUGGAAACGUGACGUCACCACUUAAGGACUCUAUAUUAACUAAUUAGAACAAAUGUAUUUUUCAAUGUUGUAUUUUCUAUUUGUGAAAAAGGAAAUUUUCAAAUUUUCAAAUUCCUUAAAUCCAGUGUUUACUUGAAUCAAAUACGGACGAGAAUAAAGAUCGGAACAUCGCGAGAGCUUGGAAAAUUGAAUACGUCACUGAAAACGUCACAAACCAUUUUCACGACAGACAUCGAAUAAUAAUCGGCGAAUACCGAUAGUUUUUUUCCACCGGAGGUUUCCGAGAAUUGGUAAAGUCAGUCAUGUAAACUCAAACUGUAAACUUGUUCGUCUGUAUUUAAAGUAUUACCGUUUGAGGUUCUUGAAAAGUUUUCAAUGAAAAAUGCAACUGAUUGAA